GUGAGGAAUAUUGGUCAAUGGGCGCAAGCCUGAACCAGCCAUCCCGCGUGAAGGACGACGGCCCUAUGGGUUGUAAACUUCUUUUGUACGGGAAGCACGUGCGCUAUGUAUAGCGUAUUGACGGUACCGUACGAAUAAGCAUCGUCUAACUCCGUGCCAGCAGCCGCGGUAAUACGGAGGAUGCGAGCGUUAUCCGGAUUCAUUGGGUUUAAAGGGUGCGUAGGCGGCCCGGUAAGUCAGCGGUGAAAGUUUGCGGCUCAACCGUAAAAUUGCCGUUGAUACUGUCGGGCUUGAGUUCAGAUGAAGUGGGCGGAAUGAGUAGUGUAGCGGUGAAAUGCUUAGAUAUUACUCAGAACACCGAUUGCGAAGGCAGCCCACUAAACUGCGACUGACGCUGAUGCACGAAAGCGUGGGGAUCGAACAGGAUUAGAAACCCUGUAGUCC
rnacentral:rRNA from 1 species